rnacentral:rRNA from 1 species
GAGAGUUUGAUCCUGGCUCAGGAUGAACGCUAGCUACAGGCUUAACACAUGCAAGUCGAGGGGCAGCAUGGUCUUAGCUUGCUAAGGCCGAUGGCGACCGGCGCACGGGUGAGUAACACGUAUCCAACCUGCCGUCUACUCUUGGACAGCCUUCUGAAAGGAAGAUUAAUACAAGAUGGCAUCAUGAGUCCACAUGUUCACAUGAUUAAAGGUAUUCCGGUAGACGAUGGGGAUGCGUUCCAUUAGAUAGUAGGCGGGGUAACGGCCCACCUAGUCUUCGAUGGAUAGGGGUUCUGAGAGGAAGGUCCCCCACAUUGGAACUGAGACACGGUCCAAACUCCUACGGGAGGCAGCAGUGAGGAAUAUUGGUCAAUGGGCGAGAGCCUGAACCAGCCAAGUAGCGUGAAGGAUGACUGCCCUAUGGGUUGUAAACUUCUUUUAUAAAGGAAUAAAGUCGGGUAUGCAUACCCGUUUGCAUGUACUUUAUGAAUAAGGAUCGGCUAACUCCGUGCCAGCAGCCGCGGUAAUACGGAGGAUCCGAGCGUUAUCCGGAUUUAUUGGGUUUAAAGGGAGCGUAGAUGGAUGUUUAAGUCAGUUGUGAAAGUUUGCGGCUCAACCGUAAAAUUGCAGUUGAUACUGGAUGUCUUGAGUGCAGUUGAGGCAGGCGGAAUUCGUGGUGUAGCGGUGAAAUGCUUAGAUAUCACGAAGAACUCCGAUUGCGAAGGCAGCCUGCUAAGCUGCAACUGACAUUGAGGCUCGAAAGUGUGGGUAUCAAACAGGAUUAGAUACCCUGGUAGUCCACACGGUAAACGAUGAAUACUCGCUGUUUGCGAUAUACUGCAAGCGGCCAAGCGAAAGCGUUAAGUAUUCCACCUGGGGAGUACGCCGGCAACGGUGAAACUCAAAGGAAUUGACGGGGGCCCGCACAAGCGGAGGAACAUGUGGUUUAAUUCGAUGAUACGCGAGGAACCUUACCCGGGCUUAAAUUGCAGAUGAAUUACGGUGAAAGCCGUAAGCCGCAAGGCAUCUGUGAAGGUGCUGCAUGGUUGUCGUCAGCUCGUGCCGUGAGGUGUCGGCUUAAGUGCCAUAACGAGCGCAACCCUUGUUGUCAGUUACUAACAGGUUCUGCUGAGGACUCUGACAAGACUGCCAUCGUAAGAUGUGAGGAAGGUGGGGAUGACGUCAAAUCAGCACGGCCCUUACGUCCGGGGCUACACACGUGUUACAAUGGGGGGUACAGAGGGCCGCUACCACGCGAGUGGAUGCCAAUCCCAAAAACCUCUCUCAGUUCGGACUGGAGUCUGCAACCCGACUCCACGAAGCUGGAUUCGCUAGUAAUCGCGCAUCAGCCACGGCGCGGUGAAUACGUUCCCGGGCCUUGUACACACCGCCCGUCAAGCCAUGGGAGCCGGGGGUACCUGAAGUGCGUAACCGCGAGGAGCGCCCUAGGGUAAAACUGGUGACUGGGGCUAAGUCGUAACAAGGUAGCCG